UGGGCUGGUCGAAAGACCCAGGUCCAUCUUUGGCGGGCCAGACGCUC
rnacentral:ncRNA from 1 species